rnacentral:tRNA from 1 species
AGCGAGUUGGCGCAGCGGAACGCGCGUUGGGCUCAUAACCCAAAGGUCGAAGGUUCGAUCCCUUCACUCGCUA